AGACGUCUACAUUAGAAUACCCCCUGUAGUCCCAGCCGUAAACUAUGCGCGUUAGGUGUAUCGGUGACCACGAGUCACCGAGGUGCCGAAGGGAAACCGUGAAACGUGCCGCCUGGGAAGUACGGUCGCAAGGCUAGAAACUUAAAGGAAUUGGCGGGGAGCACCACAACGGGUGGAGCCUGCGGUUUAAUUGGACUCAACGCCGGGAAGCUCACCGGAUAAGACAGCGGAAUGAUUGCCGGGCUGAAGACUCUGCAUGACUAGCUG
rnacentral:rRNA from 1 species